GGUCACCGGACACAUUUUUAGGCCAGGUGAGCUAAAAAAGUGUACUUAACUUAUAUUACCUUAUUUAUAACUUAUAAUGAUAAAUUUCAUUGAUAAAAUGUAUGUCUGUAUAAAUGACUUGUAUAUCAAUAAUAGCAACAAAAAGUAUAUUUUCAUACAUUUAAUUUUUUUUUAAAAACUUAUUCAAACUUUUGAGUGAAAAUUAUUAUGUAUGAGAUGAAGAACAGCAAUAAAAGCACUGUUCCUUUCUUUUGUUCGUUUAUUUAUGCUGUCUAUGUACUGAUUUUGUGUUCUGGAUGGAUAUUCCUGUGUGCAUAUUCUUUGUUUACCUAUUAAACUGUAGCACUAGGUCUAUCAAAGAUGAAUACCGCUGUAUACUUUAAUGUCCAAAUCAUAAUAGUAGUCAAAUCUGAGAAAAGUUUAUCAAAAAGAAUUUUUGGAGAAAUUCAUCAUCAAAAAACUAAUCCAGAAGCUUUCGGUCUCAAACAUUUAUGAUUUUUUUUUU
rnacentral:lncRNA from 1 species